rnacentral:lncRNA from 1 species
GAAAUACCUGUGGUUGGACCACAAGAAGAUCCUCAAUCAGAAGUAUCCAAAAAUGAGUACAUCCAUAAUACACAUCUCCUCUCUAAAAGUCAGAUAGAGUGCAUCAAGCACCUCUGAGAUAUGGCUUUGUCAUUGAGAAUGACAAUUUGAUCAACAUCAUUUAAGAUGAUGAUCCACUGACCUAUUUGAAAGCUGUCAUGAGUAAAGACUCAAACAGA